rnacentral:tRNA from 1 species
GGGGAUGUAGCUCAAUGGUAAGAGCACUUGCCUAGCAUUUAUAAGAUCCUGGGUUUGAUCUCCCAGUGCCACCA